rnacentral:rRNA from 1 species
UACGUAGGGGGCAAGCGUUGUCCGGAAUCAUUGGGCGUAAAGAGCGUGUAGGCGGUUCGGUAAGUCGGCUGUGAAGUCCAGGGCUACAACCCUGGGAGUGACCCGGUGCGAUACCGUGCCGGACUAGAGUUCGGAAGAGGCGAGUGGAAUUCCCGGUGUCAGCGGUGAAAUGACGCAGAUAUCGGGAGGAACACCUAUGGCGAAGGCAGCUCGCUGGGACGGUACUGACGCUGAGACGCGAAAGCGUGGGGAGCGAACAGG